GAUGAACGCUGGCGGCGUGCCUAAUACAUGCAAGUCGAGCGAACAGACGAGGAGCUUGCUCCUCUGACGUUAGCGGCGGACGGGUGAGUAACACGUGGAUAACCUACCUAUAAGACUGGGAUAACUUCGGGAAACCGGAGCUAAUACCGGAUAAUAUAUUGAACCGCAUUGUUCAAUAGUGAAAGACGGUUUUGCUGUCUCUUAUAGAUUGAUCCGCGCCGCAUUAGCUAGUUGGUAAGGUAACGGCUUACCAAGGCAACGAUGCGUAGCCGACCUGAGAGGGUGAUCGGCAACACUGGAACUGAGACACGGUCCAGACUCCUACGGGAGGCAGCAGUAGGGAAUAUUCCGCAAUGGGCGAAAGCUUGACGGAGCAACGCCGCGUGAGUGAUGAAGGUCUUCGGAUCGUAAAACUCUGUUAUGAGGGAAGAACAAAUGUGUAAGUAACUAUGCACGUAUUGACGGUACCUAAUCAGAAAGCCACGGCUAACUACGUG
rnacentral:rRNA from 1 species